rnacentral:ncRNA from 1 species
UGCUCCGGGGCGACCAGCGGUCUUUCCCAAGAAACGUAGGGAGAAAGAAACCAACCAAACCCCACCCCCCUCCUGCCUGCCCGCCCGCCCGCCCGCCGGAGACGGCGACGGCGAGGGCGACGGCGACGGCGACGGCGACGGCGACCACGGGCCGCUUCCGCUUCCGCGCAAACUCACUCGCCCGAGUGAACAUCGCCAACUCGGCUGGAUUUGUGCCCGGUUGCCUGCCUUACGCUCAGCGCAGCAGGACCACCACAGACAACCGCUGACGGCGGACAUACGACGGCCCUCGCCGGGACUGGCAUCCCAAUGCGAGGGCCUGACCAACAAGGAAGAAAACAGCUUCCCG